UUCCAGCUCCAAUAGCGUAUAUUAAAGUUGUUGCAGUUAAAAAGCUCGUAGUUGAAUUUCGGGGUUAGUAGGCUGGUCAUGCCUCUGGUAUGUACUGGUCUCACUGAUUCCUCCUUCCUGAUGAACCGUAAUGCCAUUAAUUUGGUGUUGCGGGGAAUUUGGACUGUUACUUUGAAAAAAUUAGAGUGUUUAAAGCAAGCUAACGCUUGAAUACAUUAGCAUGGAAUAAUGAAAUAGGACGUUCGAUCCUAUUUUGUUGGUUUCUAGGAUUGACGUAAUGAUUAAUAGGGAUAGUUGGGGGCAUUAGUAUUCAAUUGUCAGAGGUGAAAUUCUUGGAUUUAUUGAAGACUAACUACUGCGAAAGCAUUUGCCAAGGAUGUUUUCAUUAAUCAAGAACGAAAGUUAGGGGAUCGAAGACGAUCAGAUACCGUCGUAGUCUUAACCAUAAACUAUGCGACUAGGGAUCGG
rnacentral:rRNA from 1 species